GAUGAACGCUGGCGGCGUGCCUAAUACAUGCAAGUCGAACGUACACCGAAAGGUUUUUGCACCUUUUUUGUUAGUGACCAGGUGGUGAGUAACUCGUGGACCACCUGUUUGUAGGCUGUGGGUCACACUUAGUUACAGAAGCAAAUACCGCAUACUACUUAUUGUCGCUUGAUACCUUGAUAAUAGGCGCUUCGGCGUUUGCUCGUGCUGGAUUCGCGGUGUAUUAGUUAGUUGGUGGGGUAAAGGCCUACCAAGACAAUGAUGCAUAGCCGGGUUGAGAGACUGAUCAGCCACAUUGGGACUGAGACACGGCCCAGACUCCUACGGGAGGCUGCAGUGGGGAAUCUUCGACAAUGGGCGAAAGCCUGAUGGAGCAACGCCGCGUGUGUGAUGAAGGCUUUCGGGUCGUAAAGCACUGUUGUGUGGGAAGAAAGGCUAGAAUAGAAAAUGAUCUUAGUUUGACGGUACCGUAACAAAAAGGGACGGCUAAAUACGUG
rnacentral:rRNA from 1 species